rnacentral:rRNA from 1 species
UGGUAAUACCGGAUGCUCCGCUCCAUCGCAUGGUGGGGUGGGAAAUGCUUUUGCGGCAUGGGAUGGGGUCGCGUCCUAUCAGCUUGUUGGCGGGGUGAUGGCCCACCAAGGCGUUGACGGGUAGCCGGCCUGAGAGGGUGACCGGCCACAUUGGGACUGAGAUACGGCCCAGACUCCUACGGGAGGCAGCAGUGGGGAAUAUUGCACAAUGGGCGCAAGCCUGAUGCAGCGACGCCGCGUGCGGGAUGGAGGCCUUCGGGUUGUAAACCGCUUUUGUUCAAGGGCAAGGCACGGUUUCGGCCGUGUUGAGUGGAUUGUUCGAAUAAGCACCGGCUAACUACGUGCCAGCAGCCGCGGUAAUACGUAGGGUGCGAGCGUUAUCCGGAUUUAUUGGGCGUAAAGGGCUCGUAGGCGGUUCGUCGCGUCCGGUGUGAAAGUCCAUCGCCUAACGGUGGAUCUGCGCCGGGUACGGGCGGGCUGGAGUGCGGUAGGGGAGACUGGAAUUCCCGGUGUAACGGUGGAAUGUGUAGAUAUCGGAA